rnacentral:ncRNA from 1 species
GUGGUGUAUGAAAGGAGAAGUUAGCACUCCUUUGACAAGGAAGGAACCAGGAAACUAUAUGAAUGUUUGCUACCUUUGUUUUU